rnacentral:rRNA from 2 species
CAAACGACUCUCGGCAACGGAUAUCCCGGCUCUCGCAUCGAUGAAGAACGUAGCGAAAUGCGAUACUUGGUGUGAAUUGCAGAAUCCCGUGAACCAUUGAGUCUUUGAACGCAAGUUGCGCCUGAAGCCACUAGGCCGAGGGCACGUCUGCUUGGGUGUCACG